UUUUCUUUUUGAUCUUGCUAACGGACUCCGUCACUAGAUAAGAAAUAUAUUGUUGUAUUUAGGUCAGUUCACCUUAUUUUUGCUUAUUUUAAAUCUAAUCAGAUCAGAAAAAAUAAGUUCAGUUCAGAUCAUGCUUAUAUUUAAAAAAUCAUUAUUACUAUUAAAUAUCUUUCAUCACAUAUUAGUAAAAAUUAUAAUAAUUAAAUAUUAAUAAAGUACGUAUUGAGACGAAUCAAACAAGACCCCACAUGAUUAUAUUUUUUUAUAUAUUGAGAAAAAUCUAAAAGAUAAGAUCUUGUUAUCAAAUCAGAUCAAAUUAAAUCAGAUAAGUUCAGAUCAGAAAAUUUCAGGUGACAUAGCCUUAAUUACUCAUAUUUAUAUAAAAUAAUAGAAUAAGGUAUAAUUUCAAUGCAAAACAUUUAAUGUUUUUCAAAGGAAGGGAAAACAUUUAAUUCCAAUGCAAAGCAUAUAAAUGCAUUGCAUUGGAAUUAUACAUUAUUAUAUUAUUUUAUUUAAAUAUGAGUAAUUAAGUAGAACAAUAUAUUUCUUAUCUAGCGUUCCCGGGGCAUCUGUUAGCUUUUGCUUUAUUUAUUUUUUUGAGGGGAAACAGAAGUGCAUUAAUUAAAGAGACAAGGUGUCCGUAAGUACAUAAGGUGUUACCACACUAGGAGUCUAGGAGAAUAGGACAAUGACGCUCCAAACAUUGCUCAACACUAGGAGUCUAGGAGUCUAGCGAGGUUAUGGGCCACACAAUUCCCAUCCCUUCUAACAUGAGAAAAAGAAACAUAAGAAAAGCCAUUACACAUAGAAAGAAUAUCCCCAAGUAUUGUAUCCAAAUUUGAGAAGAAAAUUGCUGCUUUAGUUAAUCUUUUGGUAGCUACUACAAAAUCGGACUGAAAAUCACAUCACCAUACCCAUGAGCUUUGGCCAAUCGGGUUGCCAUAUAAAUGGCCUUACAUUCAGCUACCUCGGGAGGCCAGUCGGCACGCACACGUCUAGUUGCAACAAAGCACACCUUACCUUCCGAAUCACGGGCUAUCACACCAAGACCCUCCCAACCUUCAUCAGCUAAGCUUGCAUCUGUAUUCAGUUUAAUAGCACCAGCAGGGGAGCAUGUCAUCGGGCUGGGCUCGGAGCCGUGAUGGGCCACAGUCCACCGUAAAUCCUCACCGCAAAGCAAUUAAAGUCAUUAGCUUGUCUCAUGAUUCUCUGGCACACAACAGGGAUAGGAUGGCUAGUAUUCUCAAAUACUUUCUUAUUUCUUUCACCCCGCACAUUCGAAAGGAUAUAACAACCCUUUUGAACCACCUUGGCAUCCAUCUCACUCCAUCUGAUGAGAUUAUCACACAUGCCUUCAUCUUCCACCUCUUGUAAUAACAUAUAACAACCCAGCUCUUCCCACAAUUUUAGCGACAUCGGGUAGCUAUAGAAUAAAUGUGAUUGCCUCUCAUCCUCUCUGGCACAGCAGGGGCAACCAGCUUCUUUGACGAGGUGACGUCGCUUGAGCACAUCCCGUACCAGGAAUGAGCUUGUGCAUGCGCGCCACAUGAAAAGGCGAACCUUAGGCGACACAUUUAAGCUCCACAAAAUAUUCCACACUCUAUGAAAAUCCUCCAAUUUCCCACCUUUCCCCAACAUAUAAGCAGUUUUCACCGAAUAGGUGCAUCCUUUGAGUACGCCCAAGCUCAGUGGCGGAUGUAGGUAAUAACACGCUGGUGCACGUGCACCAGCAAUAAAAAAAAAAAAAAAAAAAAAAAAAAAAUCAAAAAAUCACGCAAAAAAAAAAAAACGCUCUUUUCUCUCACGAGUCACGCAGACCUACCUUUCUCUCUCACAGUCUCACGCAGACCUCAACUCCUCAAGCCUUCUCGCUGCCUCCCUGGUGGCUUGACUGGCUUCGUCCGGCGGCCUCCGCCACGGCAGCGCUUUCAUUGACUGUUGGUGGCUUCGUCCUUCGUGGGCGAUUCGUGGUUAAGUUUCGACGCUUCGUAUCGCCAUCGUCCUUGACGAUUCGCCGACGUGCAGCCACGAAAACGGUCGGAAUUCCUUCCUUGGUGGACGACGGUGGACUACGGUGGACGGAAUCUACUCUAGCUCCUCGGCCAACGGUUCGAAGCUCCUCCUCCUCUCGCAACACCGGUGACCUACUCUACUCUACCCUGUCUAUCCUAACACCUCCCACCAUUGCCGUCGUUGGUGUCAGACGACCUUCAUUCGCUUAGAACCAAAUAACCACCAGGUAAUUUUGUUCACCAUCUUAUCUUCUAAUAUAAAUUUAUAAUGAUGAGUUUGAAUGUGGCCAAAGUAAGAGCACAACAACUAAGAAUCUGAUAUUUUUGUUACUUGUAAUAUUAGGUAGACAACACAACUAAGAAUCAAAUAUAGUUACACUCACCGGGAUACAGAGCACAUACUCAAUACAAUGCGUGAUUUAAUGGCCAAACUCUGUUUUGUUAAUGGUGAUUUAGAUGUCCCAUAUUAUAGGAAGAGAUUGAGUUAUUGACGAGGAUCGAAAUAAAGGAAGAGGCAAUAGGCAAUUACUUGACACUGACGCACCAACAGAUAAAUGUUACAGUGAUCGUCUGAUCGACUUGAAAAAGUAAUAAUAUGAGUCGAAAAGGUAUUCAUAUUACGAUAGCUGCAAGAGUCGAAACCAUUAAGCUAGAGAAACAAUUAACCAGGACGCAAGACAAAUCUCGGCCCCUACUAAAUGGCCAGUGGCUUGAUAAAGAGAUCAUUCAAAGAUAAACAGAUUUCUCGAUUCGAAAAAAGGACGUAAAAGAUGAGCAACAAUAAAAUGAGGCGUAUACAACAAAGCCAAAAGAACACGAGCAAGAAAAGUAAAUGUCUAAAAUACUAGUAAAUUUAUAAUCAUUACUCAAACGUCAAAACCAAAUUGCCUGGUAUAAGUCGAGACACAAAAUUACCAUCAAGAGAAUAAUAUAAACCGAUUCCGAAACAAAUAAGGCUCUAAUAGGGAAUAUACGCCUUAUUUGAAGAAGCAAUAGAGUCAAUACUACUACAAAACUACUAAACGAA